AUACGUAGGGGGCGAGCGUUGUCCGGAAUGAUUGGGCGUAAAGGGCGCGUAGGCGGCCCGGUAAGUCUGGAGUGAAAGUCCUGUUUUUAAGAUGGGAAUUGCUUUGGAUACUGUCGGGCUUGAGUGCAGGAGAGGUAAGUGGAAUUCCCAGUGUAGCGGUGAACUGCGUAGAGAUUGGGAGGAACACCAGUGGCGAAGGCGACUUACUGGACUGUAACUGACGCUGAGGCGCGAAAGUGUGGGGAGCAAACAGGAUUAGAUACCCUGGUAGUCCACACUGUAUACGAUGAAUGCUAGGUGUAGGGGGUAUCGACCCCUUCUGUGCCGCAGUCAACACAAUAAGCAUUCCGCCUGGGGAGUACGGCCGCAAGGUUGAAACGCAAAGGAAUUGACGGGG
rnacentral:rRNA from 1 species